rnacentral:sRNA from 1 species
UUGACCAUAAAAUGAGAAUCAUUAUUAUUACAACCACUGGCCUCGCGGCCAGCUGGAUAAGCUGACAAGCCCAGUUCGGACUCAUCAGAUUAUCUCCUCAUCAGGCUAAUCACGGUUAUUGACCCGGCAAAUUGCCGGGUCUUUUUUUG